CUUUCCUGGAGAAUCCCAUGGACAAAGGAGCCUGGCAGACUACAGUCCAUAGGGUCACAAUGAGUUGGAUAUCACUGAAGUGACUUAGCACACACUCACAAAGAAGGGACCACCAGGAGACCUGGGGUCACCCAUGGUUGCAACCAUGUCCAGACCCUGGAUGCCUAGCAGAGAGAGAACUGGUGGAAGAAGGCAGUCAUUGUUUCUGUCUGAUGUACCCUCCAUGAAGGACAACCCUAGAAAUUAACUUGUAGAAGCUGCUAUCUCUCUUCCUCUUUGCUUCCUUUCCCCCAACCCAUCACCUACCCUAAGGAAAGGAGGUCAACAAAGCAUGGAUUAUUUCAUUAAAUUUCUUUUUACAUUCUCCUUUCAGCAACUCAUAAAUUUCCUUCCUC
ensembl:lncRNA